GAUCCUGGCUCAGAUUGAACGCUGGCGGCAGGCCUAACACAUGCAAGUCGAACGGUAACAGGAAGCAGCUUGCUGCUUUGCUGACGAGUGGCGGACGGGUGAGUAAUGUCUGGGAAACUGCCUGAUGGAGGGGGGAUAACUACUGGAAACGGUAGCUAAUACCGCAUAACGUCGCAAGACCAAANAGGGGGACCUUCGGCCGUCUUGCCAUCGGAUGUGCCCACGAUGGGAUUAGCUAGUAGGG
rnacentral:rRNA from 1 species